CGUCAGCAGGGGCUGGGAAUACUGCAGAGAUAUGCACUGUUAUUUAAUAGCAAUCUUUCUGGUCAUUUGAAUGGUAACGACAUUCAGAGAAGGAGUCAGGUCCAGUCCACUCUACAAGCUACGUGUGUCGUGCAGGGUGAGCAAAGGCUUCUGAAGCGAGGUUAGCAGCGCGAGGGAGAGGGAUCCUUAUGGCUCAGAGUGGGAACAGCGUGGAGGACGGAAAGGCGAAGUGAAGUCAGGCCUAGUGACAGGUCCCCCCUACCUUCUGAGAUUUUCUGAAGCCUUGAUAGCAUCUGAGCAAGUUUCUGUUGCCGUUCAGCCAGCUCUCCACGGCCACUGAAAUCUACACGGAAGAGCGCCAUUAUGGAGUCAAUGAUCUGUAUGGACAAGGAAGAAGAGGAAGACACCAAACAACUGCUACUACAGGAGCUGUUCCCGGAGCAGCUUCACAACAUGCAGCAUUGUUUCUGGGCUUGGAAAACCAGCGUCAAUUGGUGGAAAAGGAUUGUUUGGCAGAUCUGGGAUGACCUGCAGUGGCAAGAGAAUUUCAGGAUGGGGAGGGCAACCUUUUUUGAAAUAUGUGCUGAACUAGCCCUGGAGCUGCAACUGCAGCUUACCAACAUGCAGCAUCCCAUAUUCAUGGAGAAGCAAAUCGCUACUGACACCUUGAAGCUGGUCACCCCCAAAUGUUACCAUCCAUAGCCAACCAAUUUGGUGUAGGGAGAUCUACUGUUGGGGCCAUUGUCAUGCAGGUACUGUGGACGCAAUUUGACGAUAUUGGCAUCUGGGAGCUAUCCCAGAAUACUCCCUUAUGACCACUCUAGACAACACUCUGAACUCCGAUGCACUAGCCCCAGGAACUUUUGAAUUUCCUGUUUGGUCACCAUCAGCACAGGUGACCAUCAGCACAGUCCACCAUCACAGGCAACCAUGCAGAGUCCACCAUCACAAGAGACCACGCAGUCCCGGAUUCACAGAUGAGCUCCAGUAUGGUCCGAACACCUCAUUGCAUGUUGGCGAGAUGAAUCUGUUAUGGCAGAACUACAUUCCAAAAAAAGAAACACAAAUACAUACGCUAAAGUCUACAGGGCCAUGAUGGAAAGAGGCUACUCAAGGGACACAGAGCAGUGUUGUACAAAAAUCAAGGAGCUCAGGCAAGAGUACCAAAAAGCCAGGGAGGCGAACGGGCGCUCUGGGUCACAGCCCCAUACAUGCCACUUCUACCGUGAGCUGCAUGCAAUUAUGGGAGGUGACGCCAACACUACCCUACCACUGUCCAUGGACACCUGCAAGGAGGGAGUAGCACGGAGCAAGGAGGAUGAGUUUUUGGAGGACAAAAAGGAGGAGGAGGAGGAGGAUAGUG